rnacentral:rRNA from 1 species
CACGGGGGGAGCAAGCGUUGUUCGGAAUCACUGGGCGUAAAGGGCGUGUAGGCGGUCAAGUAAGUGGAAUGUGAAAUGCCCCGGCUCACCCGGGGACCUGCAUCCCAAACUGCUUGGCUUGAGUAUGGGAGAGGAUGAGGGAAUUCCUGGUGUAGCGGUGGAAAUGCGUAGAUAUCAGGAGGAACACCGGUGGCGAAGGCGCUCAUCUGGCCCAAUACUGACGCUGAGGCGCGAAAGCUAGGGGAGCAAACGGG